rnacentral:tRNA from 1 species
GGGGGUAUAGCUCAGCUGGCAGAGCGCCGGUCUCCAAAACCGAAGGUCCGAGGUUCGAAACCUCGUGCCCCCGCCA